rnacentral:rRNA from 1 species
CACACUCUUAUGCAUAAUGAGACAUGGACACUGGUUCCCCCUCUGCCUCGCGUCAACAUCAUUGAUUCUAAGUGGGUUUUCAAAGUCAAGAGACAUGCGGAGGGAUCUAUUGAGCGCUACAAGGCGCGUCUCGUGGCUAGAGGGUUUAAACAGCGUCGGGGUCUGGACUACGAGGACACAUUCAGCCCGGUUGUUAAGCCUACUACUAUCCGGCUUCUCCUGUCUCUUGCAGUCUCUCGUGGUUGGUCUUUUCGACAGCUUGAUGUGCAGAAUGCUUUUCUCCAUGGGCUGCUUGAAGAGGAGGUUUACAUGCGACAGCCACCAGUGUUUGUUGAUCACGCUCAGCCUCAUCAUCUCUGUCGUCUGACGAAGGCUCUCUAUGGACUGAAACAGGCGCCUCGUGCCUGGCAUGCUCGCCUUGCUUCGGCCCUUUGUACUCAUGGCUUUGUUCCGUCGACAGCUGACAACUCGCUGUUCUUAUUUCAGCGCCCCAGUGUGACUGUGUAUUUGCUUGUGUACGUGGAUGACAUUAUUCUGGCCAGCUCCUCUGCAACGGCUGCUGAUGCUCUGGUGACUACACUUGGCAGAGAUUUUGCGGUAAAAGACUUGGGGCAGCUACACUUCUUCCUGGGCAUUGAAGUUGCACAUCAGUCUCGUGGCAGCUUAGCUCUCACCCAGAAGAAGUACUCCCUUGACCUCUUGCGCCGUGCUGGUAUGCUCAAGUGUAAGCCAUCCCCCACACCCAUGUCCUCUACUGACAAGCUCUCGGCUACUGCUGGUACUAUUCUCUCUCCUACGGAUGCUACGGAGUAUCGGAGUAUUGUUGGUGGCUUGCAGUAUCUGACCAUCACACGCUCUGAUCUUUUCUUUGCGGUUAACAGGGUAUGUCAGUAUCUUCAUGCUCCUACUGAUGUGCACUGGUCUGCUGUGAAGCGCAUUUUUCGUUGUGUGCGUCUCACUGUCUCCUAUGGUCUUCAUCUGCGACCUAGUUCCUCUGCUAUUAUAUCUGCAUUCUCAGAUGCUGAUUGGGCUGGGUGUCCGGAUGACAGGCAAUCC